AAUUGAGGGACCGACCCUGACCUGACCCACUGGAGUCGAGAGGCACAGAAGGAGAUGCUGCUCUUACUAUCAUAAUCCAUAUUUCUGUCACUUCAGUAAUAGAUCACUGCUACGGCUUCCCAUGGAGCUACAUUCUAAAACUAUUCAGAAGCUCAGGGCUUUUCAUCUGUAUGAAUUCCUGUCUGGAAUAUCUGUAGGCAACCUUGUCAGAAUCUAGGGCAGCAUUUUCACUGGAGGACUACAGAUACCAGUACAUUCAUUUUUAACAAGAAACGAAACGUUACAACAGAAUAAAUAACAGCUGUAUUCAUACCUCACAUGCUAUUGUGGCAAUAAUUCUGAAAAAAGAAAUCUCUGCAGCAUCACUGCAGCAAAUCCUUGAUUGUGAAGGUAUUGUGCAUCGAUGGACUGUAUUUAUCAUCCCCAUUCUGAGGACCUUUGCACAUCUACCAUAAAUAUUUAUUCUCACAAGUGUGAACAUUGGGGAACCAAGAACAUUACUUCACACUCAGAGAUCACAUCACAGUUUGCCAGUCCAGUGUUUGUUAUUCCUACAUAAAGCAGGAGCACUGUAAGAAUGAAGUUUCUCAACUCAUGAGAGGUGGGAGUGCUCUGUACCAUAGUUGUUCCAGUUUAUCAGCUUGGGUAUGAAGACCUGUUUCUGACUUGAGAAUCAUACAAUGAAACCAGGUUGAUCCUGACAGGGACUCUUUAGAAGUGGCUGCAACAGGUUUCAUGUAGAACUACACUAAGAG